ensembl:lncRNA
AUGUGGAGACUUUGGACCGGUUGGUAUUGGGCUUGGGGGUGGGUCAGAAGGAGCAGAAAACAAUCAGUGAGAGAGAGAAAGACAAAGAUGGAAGAACUGGCAAAGCAAUCCUUUGUAGCCAUCUGUAGUGGGAGUGCAGGGAGGAAGGGCGGUGAUGUGCCGGUUGACGGAUUGAUACUGAUGGUUUGUGGGAACCUUUCCCUGCCCUUGGAGAGGUUGUUUUGGCUCCUUCCAUGCACCUACCUCAUUUCUUUUGAAUCCAUGAACCAUCGUCAUAAUGUGAAGCAUAACCUGGCAUGGCGCUCAGAACCUGAGAUCUGUAUCUGCUUGCCUUGAGGGACAAAGAAGGUUCAUCAUACCUGAGUCUCCUGCUAAAAAACCUGACUUUGUGGACAACCAUAUCCCAGGACAGCCCUUUCACGUUGGUCUAUCAUCUACUAGUAUACGUAGUUAUGCCUCCUAGAAAGAAUACAAGGCUCCCAAGCUGGUAGCCCUUACAACUCAUGACUUUGGAAUGGGAUUAAAGAAACUACAUCCCUGUCAACAUGCUUGACCAGCCGAACGAACGAAAACCACUUACCUUUACCAGGUAUGGAUCUGGUUUGCAUAGUUUUAUCCCAAUGGCAGCAGGGUUCCUUAAUGUUGCAAUGAAAUGUCAAGCUUGUGUUGCAUUCCUGACACUGUCAUCUCCAGUUUCCAAAUAGGGAGUUGUGGUGCAGCUGCAGUAAAACCGCUUGAAUUAAUAGUUUUAGCAUAAAGCAUUCGACCAUAAAAUACUGCUGCAUCAGAAGUUAGUCAUCCAUAACAGAAAUCACUAUACUUUACUUGGUGUAAAAGUAAUAGUAUAGCUACCUAGAAACACAUCAGAACUUGCAUGAAAUGAAGAGUAGAGGUAUUUUGCCAAUGCAUUCAACAUGCAUUUUCUCUCUACAGAUUAACAACUACCGUAUCGUCAUCAAACCGUCGAUUCACAGUUCCUGGUGAGUAGUUUACUAUGGGUGCACUGAUCAAGCUCUGGAAGCAACAAGACAACAACAAAAAGAUACCAUGAAAUUGAAAUGACAGAGGUUUAUGGCAGGUAUUUUGCCAAUGCAUUCAACAUGCAUUUUCUCUCUACAGAUUAACAACUACCGUAUCGUCAUCAAACCGUCGAUUCACAGUUCCUGGUGAGUAGUUUACUAUGGGUGCACUGAUCAAGCUCUGGAAGCAACAAGACAACAACAAAAAGAUACCAUGAAAUUGAAAUGACAGAGGUUUAUGGCACCUUAAAUAUGAGUAAGGGUGCAAUCAGCUGCAAACAAAGUGUCUGAUUGUACUGCCAAGUGUGGCUUUAAUAGAAGCAAUCUCCCUUUCUGGGGAAAUAAUCCAGCCCACCUCUAAAAAGUUGAAGCAUGGAUCGGAGUUGGGCUGGAGCACAUAUACUUGUGCAUCAUGAGCUUGCUCCCCAAGUGGUCCGAGUUGUCGUCAUUCUCUCUCUGAUCACACCCUAAGUUUUAUUUAGCAGACGUUUCCAUGGAUUGUAGCCCAUUCCUUCUGAGGCAUCUAAAGAAAUGGACUACAGUCCAUGAAAAUGUAUGCCUAAUAAAACUUAUUUUGAAGGUGCCA